rnacentral:rRNA from 1 species
GAACNCNGGCGGCAUNCUUUACACAUGCAAGUCGAACGGUAACAGGGUGCUUGCACCGCUGACGAGUGGCGAACGGGUGAGUAAUGCGUCGGAACGUGCCGAGUAGUGGGGGAUAACGCAGCGAAAGUUGUGCUAAUACCGCAUACGUACUGAGGUAGAAAGUGGGGGACCUUCGGGCCUCACGCUAUUCGAGCGGCCGACGUCUGAUUAGCUAGUAGGUGAGGUAAAGGCUCACCUAGGCGACGAUCAGUAGCGGGUCUGAGAGGAUGAUCCGCCACACUGGGACUGAGACACGGCCCAGACUCCUACGGGAGGCAGCAGUGGGGAAUUUUGGACAAUGGGCGAAAGCCUGAUCCAGCCAUGCCGCGUGUCUGAAGAAGGCCUUCGGGUUGUAAAGGACUUUUGUCAGGGAGGAAAUCCCUAGUGCUAAUAACACUGGGGGAUGACAGUACCUGAAGAAUAAGCACCGGCUAACUACGUGCCAGCAGCCNNNGGUAAUNAAAA